rnacentral:rRNA from 1 species
AUAANANUUUNUAUCUGNCGNAAGGGCCCUUUAAUCNUUAUAAUCUUCUUGAAUGGAACAUCUACAUGGAUAACCGUGGUAAUUCUAGAGCUAAUACAUGCGCAAAAUCNCGACUGUCAUNCAAAGGAUGUAUUUAUUAUGUACAACAUCAAUGCUGGCACUUGUGUCGGGUUUAUUGANGAUUCUAAUAACUAANCNAAGCGCACGACCUUGUGUUGCNGCUGAUACUUACGACUUUCUGCCCUCCCAACUUUCGAUGGGAGUAUAGAGGACUACCAUGGUUUCAACGGGUANCGGGGAAUAAAUAA